CUUGGGGGGAAAGGAUCCCUCAGCCCAGAUUGUGAGCGUGCGCAGGUCAGGCUGAGGGACCCCAUCGGUGCAGA
rnacentral:pre_miRNA from 1 species